rnacentral:sRNA from 1 species
CAACAUUUGGAAUGGGAGGUGGUUCUGGGAGCCAAUUAGAGGCCAGGCUUUGGGAGGUGGCAGAGGUGAGAGUCUCACACCUGGGCUCUGUCUGAUAAGUCUAGGUCUCGGUCAGGGGACCUUGGCCUAAAGGGCCUGUCUUGCCUGGAGCGUGGGAGGGGGCUGAGUCUACACAGCUGGCCUGGCCUCAGGCCUGGAGCUUUAGCUCAAGGACGAGAAGACCCAUAAAGCCAGACCCAGCUCCCAACCUCACAUCUGCCACGAUGUUGCUGCUCAGCCUGACCCUAAGCCUGGUUCUCCUCGGCUCCUCCUGGGGACAGCAGCGGCUUCCACUUCUGCGGUGGUUCUCUCAUCAGCCAGUCCUGGGUGGUCACUGCUGCCCACUGCAAUGUCAGCCCUGGCCGCCAUUUUGUUGUCCUGGGCGAGUAUGACCGAUCAUCAAACGCAGAGCCCUUGCAGGUUCUGU